UGCAAAAGAUGGCACUGGCUUGAACCGGGAAGGUAGUGCUGGAGGAAAGAAAGAAAAAGAUGACCUGGCCUCCUUGUAAACGUGUGAAUGGCAUACACAUACAGCACCUUUACCAGAAAAGAGGUCUAAGAGUUCGGAUGGCAAACAAACUAGAAUCUCUGAAUUUAUGGGCUGAGAAAAUUUGAGUUUCCACAACAUCCACAGACAAUCUGGACCAUAAUCAAGUCAGUGCAGUCUAAAGCAAUGUUUCAAAUAUCCGAAGAUCCCCAUCCCAGCUCUGUCUUAUGAGAGAAACAAGGAAAGAGAGAAGGAAGGAAAGAAAGAGGGGAAGAGGCUGUGGGCAAGAUGGGAGAAGACAUCAAGAAACCCAAAGGCAAAGAAAAUGAUGGCUUUCAAGAAGAGUGGCAGGCCACACCUCUUCCCUUUGAACAACAAAUUCAUGUCACUUCUUUCCAAUAUCAAGACACCCGUAGGACACAAUAAUAUAUUUUCUCUCAGAUUUUUGUUAGAAUUCAGUCAAACUGUCUGCUUUAGAAUUUAUUAUCUCAUGACAUGAGCCUCUCAUUACAGGGUCACAUAUUUGAUUUAUGACAUCACCAGUUAAGUUGUUUCUAGUAUAACACUUACACAGUUAAAAUAUAUAAAUAUUUUUACAUAGAAGUUAUGAAAUUUCAAGUUGACUGAAUAACUGAACAACUAAAAACACUGGUUUUUUUAUAUUUGAAAAUGUAACUACAUGUGCAAGAAAAUUAUAGGUAAUAAAAUAAUAGUGAAGAAAAGAAAAAAAUAAGUGAAACAAGAAAAUAAGGAAACAAGUGGAUUACAAAAUUAUACAUUCUAGAGAGGAAAAACAGUCAAAUCAGAUAGGCAGAAGCAGGGAUACCUAAACGAACAUGGAUCAAUACAAGUUCUUCAACUACAUGAACACUGGUUGGGGGGGUCCCCAAGAAAGCAAAAUCCAAUGGAAAAUGUGACUGUAUUGGGUGGGUACCCUUUGUGCUAUUCAAAAGGACAAACAAUGCCGUGAGAAAUCUAAACCUACAAUGUAAUUGUUGACUCCAUAGUGUGACUAUAAAGUAGUGACAAAAUAAUUAUAUACUUGUUUCUAUUGUGUGUCAGAUAAAACAGCACAAAUUCUUGCACCCAUGUAUUACAAGAACAUCAAAGAACACGUUGUCAGUGUUCAAAUACGGCAAAAAGUUGAGAGGGAAGUUUUUCUGGUAAUCUCUCACAUUCAACAAACCACCGACAACAAGAUACUCCAAAGGAACCCACAGUGUGGGGCGAGAUGUAGGAAUUUCAUACACACAGACAAGAGGCAGGGGAGCU
rnacentral:lncRNA from 10 species